UCUCAGGCUGUGAUUGUCCAAACGCAAUUCUUGUUAAACGUAUAUAUGCAAUCAAGGAUUGAGUAGGGACGUCAACGCUUGAGA
rnacentral:pre_miRNA from 1 species